UACGGGGGGGGCAAGCGUUGUUCGGAAUUACUGGGCGUAAAGGGCUCGUAGGCGGCCAACUAAGUCAGACGUGAAAUCCCCAGGCUUAACCUGGGAACUGCGUCUGAUACUGGAUGGCUUGAAUGCGGCAGAGGGGGGUGGAAUUCCGCGUGUAGCAGUGAAAUGCGUAGAGAUGCGGAGGAACACCGAUGGCGAAGGCAGCCCCCUGGGCCGACAUUGACGCUCAGGCACGAAAGCGUGGGGAGCAAACAGG
rnacentral:rRNA from 1 species